GACGAACGCUGGCGGCGUGCUUAACACAUGCAAGUCGAACGGAAAGGCCCUGCUUUUGUGGGGUGCUCGAGUGGCGAACGGGUGAGUAACACGUGAGUAACCUGCCCUUGACUUUGGGAUAACUUCAGGAAACUGGGGCUAAUACCGGAUAGGAGCUCCUGCUGCAUGGUGGGGGUUGGAAAGUUUCGGCGGUUGGGGAUGGACUCGCGGCUUAUCAGCUUGUUGGUGGAGUAGUGGCUUACCAAGGCUUUGACGGGUAGCCGGCCUGAGAGGGUGACCGGCCACAUUGGGACUGAGAUACGGCCCAGACUCCUACGGGAGGCAGCAGUGGGGAAUAUUGCACAAUGGGCGGAAGCCUGAUGCAGCAACGCCGCGUGCGGGAUGACGGCCUUCGGGUUGUAAACCGCUUUCGCCUGUGACGAAGCGUGAGUGACGAUAAUGGGUAAAGAAGCACCGGCUAACUACGUG
rnacentral:rRNA from 1 species